rnacentral:rRNA from 2 species
CUUGCUUCUUCUUGAGAGCGGCGGACGGGUGCAGUAAUGCCUAGGAAUCUGCCUGGUAGUGGGGGACAACGUUUCGAAAGGAACGCUAAUACCGCAUACGUCCUACGGGAGAAAGUGGGGGAUCUUCGGACCUCACGCUAUCAGAUGAGCCUAGGUCGGAUUAGCUUGUAGGUGAGGUAAUGGCUCACCUAGGCAACGAUCCGUAACUGGUCUGAGAGGAUGAUCAGUCACACUGGAACUGAGACACGGUCCAGACUCCUACGGGAGGCAGCAGUGGGGAAUAUUGGACAAUGGGCGAAAGCCUGAUCCAGCCAUGCCGCGUGUGUGAAGAAGGUCUUCGGAUUGUAAAGCACUUUAAGUUGGGAGGAAGGGUUGUAGCUUAAUACGCUGCAACUUUGACGUUACCAACAGAAUAAGCACCGGCUAACUCUGUGCCAGCAGCCGCGGUAAUACAGAGGGUGCAAGCGUUAAUCGGAAUUACUGGGCGUAAAGCGCGCGUAGGCGGCUUGAUAAGAUGGGUGUGAAAUCCCCGGGCUUAACCUGGGAACUGCAUCCAUAACUGUCUGGCUAGAGUACAGUAGAGGGUGGUGGAAUUUCCUGUGUAGCGGUGAAAUGCGUAGAUAUAGGAAGGAACACCAGUGGCGAAGGCGACCACCUGGACUGAUACUGACGCUGAUGUGCGAAAGCGUGGGGAGCAAA